AUUAAGUAGUUUAAUUAAAAUAUCGAUUUGUGGUGUCGGAGUUGUAAAGAUCUAAUUACCUUAAGUU
rnacentral:tRNA from 1 species